rnacentral:rRNA from 1 species
GAUGAACGCUUGCGGGAGGCCUAACACAUGCAAGCCGAGCGGUAUUGUUUCUUCGGAAAUGAGAGAGCGGCGUACGGGUGCGGAACACGUGUGCAACCUGCCUUUAUCUGGGGGAUAGCCUUUCGAAAGGAAGAUUAAUACUCCAUAAUAUAUUGAACGGCAUCGUUUAAUAUUGAAAGCUCCGGCGGAUAGAGAUGGGCACGCGCAAGAUUAGCUAGUUGGUGAGGUAACGGCUCACCAAGGCGAUGAUCUUUAGGGGGCCUGAGAGGGUGAUCCCCCACACUGGUACUGAGACACGGACCAGACUCCUACGGGAGGCAGCAGUGAGGAAUAUUGGUCAAUGGGUGCAAGCCUGAACCAGCCAUCCCGCGUGAAGGACGACUGCCCUAUGGGUUGUAAACUUCUUUUGUAUAGGGAUAAACCUACCCUCGUGGGGGUAGCUGAAGGUACUAUACGAAUAAGCACCGGCUAACUCCGUGCCAGCAGCCGCGGUAAUACGGAGGGUGCAAGCGUUACCCGGAUUUAUUGGGGUUAAAGGGUCCGUAAGCGGACUUAUAAGUCAGUGGUGAAAGCCUGUCGCUUAACGAUAGAACUGCCAUUGAUACUGUAAGUCUUGAGUAUUAUUUGAGGUAGCUGGGAUAAGUAGUGUAGCGGGGAAAAUGCAUAGAUAUUACUUAGAACACCCAUUUGGGAAGGCAGGUUACCCAAGAUAUAACUGACGCUGAGGGACGAAAGCGUGGGGAGCGAACAGGAUUAGAUACCCUGGUAGUCCACGCCGUAAACGAUGCUAACUCGUUUUUGGGCUUUAGGGUUCAGAGACCAAGCGAAAGUGAUAAGUUAGCCACCUGGGGAGUACGCUCGCAAGAGUGAAACUCGAAGGAAUUGACGGGGGCCCGCACAAGCGGUGGAUUAUGUGGUUUAAUUCGAUGAUACGCGAGGAACCUUACCAAGACUUAAAUGGGAAUUGACAGCUUUAGAAAUAGAGCUUUCUUCGGACAAUUUUCAAGGUGCUGCAUGGUUGUCGUCAGCUCGUGCCGUGAGGUGUUAGGUUAAGUCCUGCAACGAGCGCAACCCCUGUCACUAGUUGCCAUCAUUCAGUUGGGGACUCUAGUGAGACUGCCUACGCAAGUAGAGAGGAAGGUGGGGAUGACGUCAAAUCAUCACGGCCCUUACGUCUUGGGCCACACACGUAAUACAAUGGCCGGUACAGAGGGCAGCUACACAGCGAUGUGAUGCAAAUCUCGAAAGCCGGUCUCAGUUCGGAUUGGAGUCUGCAACUCGACUCUAUGAAGCUGGAAUCGCUAGUAAUCGCGCAUCAGCCAUGGCGCGGUGAAUACGUUCCCGGGCCU